GAUGAACGCUGGCGGCGUGCAUAAUACAUGCAAGUCGAGCGAACAGAUGAGGAGCUUGCUCCUCUGACGUUAGCGGCGGACGGGUGAGUAACACGUGGAUAACCUACCUAUAAGACUGGGAUAACUUCGGGAAACCGGAGCUAAUACCGGAUAAUAUAUUGAACCGCAUGGUUCAAUAGUGAAAGACGGUUUUGCUGUCACUUAUAGAUGGAUCCGCGCCGCAUUAGCUAGUUGGUAAGGUAACGGCUUACCAAGGCAACGAUGCGUAGCCGACCUGAGAGGGUGAUCGGCCACACUGGAACUGAGACACGGUCCAGACUCCUACGGGAGGCAGCAGUAGGGAAUCUUCCGCAAUGGGCGAAAGCUUGACGGAGCAACGCCGCGUGAGUGAUGAAGGUCUUCGGAUCGUAAAACUCUGUUAUUAGGGAAGAACAAAUGUGUAAGUAACUAUGCACGUCUUGACGGUACCUAAUCAGAAAGCCACGGCUAACUACGUG
rnacentral:rRNA from 1 species